GUUUAAUAUAUUUAUAUCUUUGUUUAUGUUUAAAUCGCUUAUAUGGUCAUAGAAGAUCAACUCAAAAGUUAAUUAGAUUGCGUCUAGGCUAAAUUUCACACGAAACUAAGCUAAAUCUUAUUGAGACCAUGACCUGUAAAUUGUUUUUUUUUUAUACUUUUGAUAGUUUGGAAAAAUGUUUAACAUUGUUAUAAAUAGAAUAUGAGAAUUUGAGCCAAAUUGGUGAACACAAAUUUGACAGCUAGUGCCCCUUCAACGAAUAACUUAAGAUAAGUGGGCUUUGUUAAUAAUAACACAUACACGGCUUGGUUAUAAAAAACUUAAGAAAAUAGAGUUUUCGGUCAGUAAUAAUGGACUAGACAGUGCCAUUACAGCUGAGCAAACCUUUGACAAAUAACAAGACCAUUAUGAAAACACUCAUAUAAUUAACACUUUGAUUAAAAUACUUCAAACUAAUGAAAACAUGAAAUGUAUGAGAAAAAAACUAUAAUGUGUAACUUUCAUGAAUGUAAUUACAACCGUUUUCAGAUAGAGACAUUCUCGCCGUAUAAACUGAUAUAACACCGCUACUUAAAAUAAACUCAUCCAAAUUAUCAUGCACGCUUAUAAUUUGUUACACCAGACGUGCGUUUUGUCUAUAGUGGUCCUCAAACCAAAACAAGUUGAAGGCUAAAUAUCAAGUUGAAAAGUAAUUGAACCCCCUAAAUAUCGACAAAUUAGUGUCAACAAUGGUUUAGACAACCUUUUUGUUGGGUCAGGGGAAGGGGUGGGGGUAUUGAAACAUUUUUGGUUCAUUAUGACAAUUAUUGCAAAUGAUUCGUUGCAAACCGGGCGUUUGGUCGUUUACAUAUACAUAACAGAUUAAGAAAGAAAGUAAAUGCCGUGUGUAAAAUAUACUGAAUGAAUACCAAAUAAUAAUAUAAAUCUAAUGCCAAAAAUAACACUAUAUCAAAUAAAUAAUCUGAACUGCUAAUCACUAUAAAAC
rnacentral:lncRNA from 1 species